ACGGCAGUUGCCAAGAACAAGUGCCUUACAAAAAGUGGCAAAAAGGAAGCCAAGAAAGUUCCGGUAGAUACAUUUUCUAAGACCGACUAGUGUGAUGUGAAAGCAGCUACAUUCAAUAUAAGAAGUAUUGGAAAGACACUAGUCACCAGGACUCAAGGAACCAAAAUUGCAUCAGAUGGCCUCAAGGGUUUGCGUGUUUGAAGUGAGCCUUGCUGAUCUGCAGUCAAGUUGCAUUUAGAAAAUUCAGGCUGAUUACUGAAGACGAACAAGGUAAAAACUGCCUAACUUUCAUGGCAUGGAUCCUACCAGUGACAAAAUAUGUUCCAUGGUCAAAAAAAUGGCAGACCAUUACUGAAGUUCAUGUUGAUGUCAAGACUACUGAUGGUUAUUUGCUUCAUCUGUUCUGUGUUGGUUUUACUAAAAAGUACAACAAUCAGAUACAAAAGACUUCUUAUGCUCAGCACCAACAGGUCUGCCAAAUCCAGGAGAUAAUGAUAAAAACCAUGACCCAAAAACUGCAAGACAGAUGACUUGAAAGAAGUGGCCAGUAAAUUGACUUCGGACAGCAUUGCAAAAUAUAUUAAAACAGCUUGCUAAUCUAUUUAUCCUUUCCAUGAUGUCUUGGUUAGAAAAGUAAAAAUGCUAAGCCCAAGUUUGAAUUGGGAAAGGGCAUGGGGCUUCAUGGUGAAGGUAGUGGUUCUGGAAAAGCUACUAGAGACAAGACAGGUGCUGAAGUUGAAUGAGCUGAUGGGUGUGAACCACUAGUUCAGGAAUCUGUUUAA
rnacentral:lncRNA from 10 species